GUGAGCUCUAAAUUGUUAAAGUUUAGUUUAAAUUUUGGGUUUAAAAUUUGGGUUUUAAAUGAGAAGGCUAUUAUCUCCCCAUUUAAAACGGACGCCAAGAUCGAUAUUUAUGUCCCAAAAUACAAGUGCCCGAGGGGCUACACGCCCCUCGAUACGGGCUUUUUUUUUAAGAUAUGGAGACGUAUGUCUAAUAUUUAUAUUAAUUUUGAAUUUUAAUUUAUUCUGAUUAAAUUGGUCGCCUGAA